AAUGAACGCUGGCGGCGUGCUUAACACAUGCAAGUCGAACGAUGAAGCCCAGCUUGCUGGGUGGAUUAGUGGCGAACGGGUGAGUAACACGUGAGUAACCUGCCCUUAACUCUGGGAUAAGCCUGGGAAACUGGGUCUAAUACCGGAUAGGAGCGUCCACCGCAUGGUGGGUGUUGGAAAGAUUUAUCGGUUUUGGAUGGACUCGCGGCCUAUCAGCUUGUUGGUGAGGUAAUGGCUCACCAAGGCGACGACGGGUAGCCGGCCUGAGAGGGUGACCGGCCACACUGGGACUGAGACACGGCCCAGACUCCUACGGGAGGCAGCAGUGGGGAAUAUUGCACAAUGGGCGCAAGCCUGAUGCAGCGACGCCGCGUGAGGGAUGACGGCCUUCGGGUUGUAAACCUCUUUCAGUAGGGAAGAAGCGAAAGUGACGGUACCUGCAGAAGAAGCACCGGCUAACUACGUG
rnacentral:rRNA from 1 species